ACGUAGGGGGCGAGCGUUGUCCGGAUUUACUGGGCGUAAAGAGCGCGUAGGCGGCCUGUUAAGUCAGGAGUGAAAUCUCCAGGGCUCAACCCGGAAACUGCUCUUGAUACUAACAGGCUGGAGUGGCGAAGAGGUGAUUGGAAUUCCCGGUGUAGCGGUGACAUGCAUUGAUAUCGGGAGGAACACCAACGGCGAAGGCAGGUCACUAGUCGCCAACUGACGCUGAGGCGCGAAAGCGUGGGUAGCAAACAG
rnacentral:rRNA from 1 species